UUUUGGGGGUUCCCCAUACUUAGAACUGAAACUCAAAAAAUCUUUUUUCAUCAAACCCAUACGUGUGGGGUAUCUAUGGAUAGGUCUUUAAAAAUGAUAUAGAGGUUUUUUCUAAACUGAAUAGUUUGCGCGAGAGACACUUCCAAAGUGGUAAAA